rnacentral:lncRNA from 1 species
CACCUCGAACAUAUCUAUUAGGGAACAACUUUUAGGGAAUUUGUUUAAGAUAACUACAAUUUUGUCUCUUCAAUUUAGGUCAUAAGAAAACAAUGACCCAAUGAUUUCGUUCUAGUAGGUAGAUAUAAUAAUAAAAUAUUAAAAAAAUCUCGGAAAAUCUAAAAAUAUUAGAAAUAGAAAUUAAGAAAUAUUUUAAAGGCUAACUUUUACUUGAAGUAGAUGGAAGAUUGAUAUUUGGAUCAGACUCUUUGUCCGCACUAGAAUCUGUCAUUGAAAGAAAACGAUUUUAUGACCAAAGAGGGUGAUGGAUUUCAGAAUGGAAUAAUCGGAAUUACGAGUGGUAGGUGAAAUCAAAUCCAUAGUUUGAUAAAUUUCUGCAGUUUUUUUUUUCCCCUCCCGAUAACGGGGGUAUUUUUUCACAGAUGUAGAGUUGUCAACCUCCGGAUUAUAAGAAUACAUUGAAAUCUAAGGUAAAAUAGGAGUUUUUACCACAACAAUAAAUCCAGGACUUAAGUGAAAUAAAGAUAACUUUAAGGUUGUGACAAAACAGAAUAAACUGUUUUGUUUAUAACUAAGAAGGGGUUAUCUGCAAAUGUUUCAAUUAAUAGUUAUUUGGAUUCAAGUGAAAUUAAAAGAAUUGAAAGGUUAUUACAAAAGAAGAUCGAUAACUAAAAUAAUUAUAUAUAUGGAUCUAAUUGAAAUAACCCAGUUAAUUAAUUAGUCCUUGGUAUAUAAGAAAUAUGAUAAGAGUUGGAGGACUACUAAAUAAAUGUCACAAACUAAAGUCAAUGACUUAAUUGAUAUUACUGAUAAGUUUGUUCUAUCUUGCAGCAAUUAUUACAACUAAUAACUAAACAACAAAUCGGAUCCGGAUCAACUACAGCCCGAGACCCGAUUAAACUAGAUUAGUUAGUUAUUAGUUUAUUGUAAUAGUUAGCUAGUAAUGUGUAUAAAUAAACAAAGAUUAAUCUUUAAUAAACAUGCAAUAAUAUACAAAAGUUUAUCUAGUUUUUAAAGAUAAACAAGAUUGCAAUUUUCCCCCUCUUUUCUUUCCUCCUCCUCACGAUUCUAUCUGACCGGUAUUACAGUUUUCCCCCAAAUUCUCUGGGCGGAAAACCCUAGUCGACGAUCGCCGGCAAACUCUUCCAAAGGACUCUCCGGACUUCGGAAGACUACACAUUGACCCCGGCGCGUCUCUCCGAUCAGAAAUUAAGACGGAUGAUAUAUCAGAGUCACAUAAUAUAUCAUCGGAUAAAUUUAAGUGGAAAUGUACAAAGUAAGAUUCAAACCCUGGAUCUCAGAAACCUUAAUAGUUUCUAAGAUCAAUGAGUCAACCUUACUUUGUUUAGAUAAAUUUCUGCAGAACUACCAUGAGGAUGAGAUGAAGAAGAUGGAACUGAAAAUAAAUCCAUUUUAGCUAGAAUAGGUAAUUGACUGAAGUGCAGAAACGCUACGACCAAAAAAAAGAUAGAAUGAGUGAAAACAAAAUGAGUGAAAACGAAUAAAAAUUAAAAGAAGAAGAACAAGAAGAAAUGGAUUGAACUACAAGAAGAAAAUCCAAUACAAAAAGAAUAAAAAAGAAUUCAGGAACGACGGAAUUAAAAAAAUUUAUAAACUAAUACAAAAAUAAACAAAAAUGUAAGGAAAGGGCAAAAAUAAGAAGAGAAUAAAGAACCUAAAAAAUCAAAAAUCAACAUAGAAUACGAUAAGGAUCGAUUAUUGUAAACAUUACCGUGGAAGAACAAUGUUGAUCCUUCGCAGGAACGACAGGUAAUUGGAAGAGCCGAAUAACCAACUGAACAAACGAAAAUGGAAUAUAACAACG